rnacentral:rRNA from 1 species
AUUGAACGCUGGCGGCAUGCCUUACACAUGCAAGUCGAACGGUAACAGGUCUUCGGAUGCUGACGAGUGGCGAACGGGUGAGUAAUACAUCGGAACGUGCCCGAUCGUGGGGGAUAACGGAGCGAAAGCUUUGCUAAUACCGCAUACGAUCUACGGAUGAAAGCAGGGGACCGCAAGGCCUUGCGCGGACGGAGCGGCCGAUGGCAGAUUAGGUAGUUGGUGGGAUAAAAGCUUACCAAGCCGACGAUCUGUAGCUGGUCUGAGAGGACGACCAGCCACACUGGGACUGAGACACGGCCCAGACUCCUACGGGAGGCAGCAGUGGGGAAUUUUGGACAAUGGGCGCAAGCCUGAUCCAGCAAUGCCGCGUGCAGGAUGAAGGCCUUCGGGUUGUAAACUGCUUUGUUACGGAACGAAACGGUAGAGCUCUAAUAAAGCUUAGCUAAUGACGGUACCGUAAGAAUAAGACACCGGCUAACUACGUGCCAGCAGCCGAC